CCACUGAAAAGUUAAAGAAAUUUUUGUGUCUUUUUCUUCACAGUAUAGAAUGGCCCGUGUCUUAUCUUCGUAUGGCAGUGCUUGGAUGUACUCUUGAGUACUGGAGAGAAUCAGAGGAAGUGAGUCUCAAGGAAAAAUAUUGAUUCCCCUUCAGCAAACUCUGCUGAAACGCACUGUUGUAGGCCUUGUUAUUUUUGAG
rnacentral:lncRNA from 1 species